UUACGGCCAUAUCAUGUUGAAACACCGGUUCCCGUAAUACCACUGAAGUUAAGCAACAUUGAACUUAGUCAGUACCUGGAUGGUUAACUGCUUGAGAAUACCAGGAGCUGUAAG